rnacentral:lncRNA from 1 species
AUAUAUAUAUAUAUAUAUAUAUAGUCCAGCUACUAUACUAUCAAUAGUAGCAAGUCCUUGGUACUAUUGAGUUUUCUAUCGUUAGAUCCACCCUUUGAUCAUUUUCAUCUAUUGGAUUAUACUAUUAAACCAACCACCCACUGAACCCUAGGGGACCACUAUCAAUUUAACCGGGGACCACUAUCAUCCUAACCAUACAUCCUUUCAUCCAACGGCCGAAAACUCAAUAGUACCAAGGGCUUGGUACUAUUGAUAGUAUAGUAGCAUAAUUCUAUAUAUAUAUAUAUAUAUAUGC